UUUUUUUUUUUUUUACUUGAAAUCUCAAAAGUGGCAUUAUCAUGAGGGCUCUUGAGCAAAGUGGAUGGAGCUUCAAUUGAAUUUUAUCACGGAACAAGAUUAUCGGUUCCUCUUUACAUCGUCAGUAUUUGUUGCUUUUUGUGUGUUAGGGGUACUUUUGUCUUUAUCUUCUGUUCUCUUUCUUCAGAUUGAUAUUUUCUUAUGGAAUAAACCGAAAAAUGGGCUUAAUUAAGAUUGAAGGACGGAAUAAUUUCACGGAAAGAAAAUCAAGGACUACAAAAUGCAUUUCUUGAACAAAAGGAUGGAUAAGUUGUAUUUUAAAUCAUACAGGGAAGAAAUAGUAAUUUUUCCUAAAAUGUAUAAAUUUUUCCUGUCAAAAUUACAAAUACUUGUCAAUUAAAUUAAAUU
rnacentral:lncRNA from 1 species